rnacentral:rRNA from 1 species
UACGUAGGUGGCAAGCGUUGUCCGGAUUUAUUGGGCGUAAAGCGAGCGCAGGCGGUUCCUUAAGUCUGAUGUGAAAGCCCACGGCUCAACCGUGGAAGGUCAUUGGAAACUGGGGAACUUGAGUGCAGAAGAGGAGAGUGGAAUUCCAUGUGUAGCGGUGAAAUGCGUAGAUAUAUGGAGGAACACCAGUGGCGAAGGCGACUCUCUGGUCUGUAAACUGACGCUGAGGCUCGAAAAGCGUGGGGAGCAAACAGG